rnacentral:ncRNA from 2 species
GCCGUUUAAAGGCGUGACGGUGUCGAAGCGCGCGCAAGCGCGUGGAGAUGAAGAGGGAACACGGUGCGGCGCGACGAGCGCCAAAACCGUGGCUGCGCCCGCAACUGUAAGCGGCAAGUCCUCUCCAAAUACGCCACUGGCGCUCCGCGUUGGAGCCCCGGGAAGGCUGGAGAGCGACGUUCGAGCCGUAAGCCAGGAGACCUGCCGCCACAAGUCGCCCAUC